ACCAGCUCAAUGCCUUUUUUUUUUUGAGCCAGGGUUUCAUCAUGCAUCCUGGGCUGGCUGCCCUUGAACCUAAUGUUCUCUUUCUGCAGCCUCCCAAGUGUUGGGAUUACAGGCCACAAGCAGCCUUUCGGUAAAGGAGAAAUAUCACCAUGUUGGCUUCUGACAUGGUGAGGACGUGUGAAUUAUUUUUGACCUUUUAAUCCGGCUGACUGAAGGAUUUCUGUGACAACCAGAAGACGGGGGAAAUGACACCCAGGACUGGAAAUUCCCACCUCAUUCACUUUGUAAUGUUCAUUCUUGGACUGCUCAUCCUUUGUUGAACCCACCAGUCUCAUGAGGAAGACAUUGAAGGAGAACUAAAUACCAGCCCGUCACGAACCCCCAGCUAACGGAUUCACCUGGCAGCCAUCUGAGCAGGCCUUGAACUCUGAGCCAACAUUACAAGAAACAGGGACAGAGGUGAAAAGCUUGCUGCUAUUCCUGAGCAUCACUGCUUCCCUCUAGCGGUCAGAAAGAAUGAGCUGGAAAAAUGGACGUCUAUCCUUGGCUUCUUGUUAAUCUACAUACACAUCAAAUGGGGGUUUCACAGAAGUCCGCUGGAUUUCCUGGUGAGGAGUGGAAAGCUGGCCGAUGACACGUCUAACUAUAAUUUCAUUCUGACCACUGAAACAAAAUUAUCUAUUUUAAAAGGUUUCAAAUCUGUGGCAAGGGCACUUUAAAUCACUUUCCUUUUUUUUUUAAUGUUUUACAUCACUCUGAGGUGCUGUACUUGUUCUCAACAACAACUGAUACCCACAUUUGUAUCUUAGUUCAAAGGAGUUUUGCAAAAAAUGACUGUAAGAGGAGAAGGAUGGAGAAGGAGAGGGCAUGGAGGGAAGGUGGCAGUCAGAUCACUAGUACGUGUCUCUUGGGGGUUGCUGUGCUCUGUGAAUGAGGGUGUGAUUGUACAACCAGCCUUCAGCAUGUCCUACAUUCCUCCAGAGAACCCAUCAUACCACUAUCUUGUUAGAUA